GGAUGUGGUGUAACGGUAACACACAGGACUUUGACUCCUGCGUUGUGGGUUCGAGUCCCGCCAUC
rnacentral:tRNA from 1 species